rnacentral:rRNA from 16 species
UCAAGCGACUAAGGGCGCACGGUGGAUGUCUUGGCGUCGAGAGGCGAUGAAGGACGUUGGAACCUGCGAUAAGCCAUAGGGAGCUGGUAACCGAGCUGUGAUCUAUGGAUGUCCGAAUGGGGAAACCCACUCUGUUUACAGAGUACCGCAGUCUGAAUGCAUAGGGCUGCGGAGCGAACCCAGGGAACUGAAAA